rnacentral:rRNA from 1 species
UACGGAGGAUGCAAGCGUUAUCCGGAAUGAUUGGGCGUAAAGCGUCCGCAGGUGGCUGUGUAAGUCUGCUGUUAAAGAGUGAGGCUCAACCUCAUAAAGGCAGUGGAAACUACAUGGCUAGAGUGCGUUCGGGGCAGAGGGAAUUCCUGGUGUAGCGGUGAAAUGCGUAGAGAUCAGGAAGAACACCGGUGGCGAAAGCGCUCUGCUGGGUCAUAUCUGACACUGAGGGACGAAAGCUAGGGGAGCGAAAGGG